AAGAAUCACUCUGUAUAUCUACACCCAUAGUCUAUACCUAUACCUAUAUCUAUCAAUUAAUAUUUUUGUUUAGCACGAACUCGGAUCGGUUGUUGUGAAUAAUGUGGAUAAAGACGAGGAUGAAGAAGAAUAUCCGUUUCAAAAAACAUACUAUUCGUAUAAAGUGCAAUCUAAUGAGUUGUUAAAAGAUGUACGCUUAGACCCGCCAAUUGACUACGUAACGCCAAAAGGAUACAAAUUGGUGUUGCAACCAAUUGUUCAUUUUUGUCAACAUGUGGACAAGAGUAUUAUC